UACGUAGGGUGCGAGCGUUGCCCGGAUUUAUUGGGCGUAAAGGGCGCGUAGGCGGCUCUGCACGUCCGUUGUGAAAUCGCCCGGCUCAACUGGGCGGGGUCAGCGGAUACGGCGGAGCUUGAGCAAGCUAGGGGCGAGCGGAACAGACGGUGGAGCGGUGAAAUGCGUAGAUAUCGUCUGGAACGCCGAAGGUGAAAACAGCUCGCUGGGGCUGCGCUGACGCUGAGACACGAAAGCCAGGGGAGCGAACGGG
rnacentral:rRNA from 1 species